rnacentral:tRNA from 1 species
CAACAUAUACGGCGUUGCAAAACCAACACUCCGAAUGUGAAGGCCGCCGGUUCAAAUCCGGCUAGGC